ensembl:lncRNA
AUGGAGAAAAUGUUAGUAAGAACGUUAAAUUAUUUUCUGGAAAAGAAAGAAAUAUUAACACCAGUUCAGUGUGGUUUUAGGAAAAAAAGAACAACAAUGGACGCUCUUUUAUUGUUUGAAAAUGAGGUUAGGAAGGCACUAAUAAUGAAGGAGUUUCUUGUCGCAGUUUUCUUUGAUAUUGAAAAAGCGUAUGACACUCUUUGGAGGGAAGGACUGUUAAUUAAGUUAGAUAGAAUUGGUGUAGGAGGGAGAAUGUAUAACUGGAUAUUAGAUUUUUUAUUUGAACGUACAUUUCAGGUAAGAAUAGGUGAAGAAACAUCAGCAUCAUAUGAUAUCCUGAAUGGUACCCCACAAGGAAGCGUGAUUAGCCCAAUUUUAUUUAAUUUAAUGAUCAAUGAUAUAUUUGAAAAAGUUAAACCAAGCAUUGGGAAGGCGUUGUAUGCGGACGAUGGUGCUAUAUGGAAAAGAGGUAGGAAUAUAGGAAAUGUAAUUAAAGGAGUACAAGAAACUAUAAAUGAAGUUGAAAGAUGGUCAGUAGACUGGGGAAUGAAGUUUUCAGUAUCAAAAACUCAAUAUAUGGUUUUCUCAAGGAAAAAGAAAAUUGAACAGAUUACAUUGAAGUUAUAUGAUCAACUGUUAGAAAGAGUGAUAGAGUUUAAGUAUCUUGGUUUAAUCUUUGAUGAGAAGAUGACUUGGAAACAACAUAUUAAGAAAAUUGAAAAUAAAUGCAAAAGAGUAAUAAAUUGUAUGACCUCAAUAACUAAAUAUGAAUGGGGAGCAAGGAAAAGUGCAAUGUUAUGUAUAUAUCAAGCCCUAGUACGUUCUAGCAUAGAUUACGGAUGUGCAGUGUAUGGUGAUGCAGCUAAAUCUCAGUUAAAGAAACUGGAGAACAUACAAUCUAGAGCGCUUAGAAUCUGCUGUGGAGCUAUAAGAUCAACUCCUCUAGAUGCUGUCAGGGUUGAAAUGGGGGAAAUGCCAUUAGAUCUGAGAAGAGAAAAGCUUGCAAUGAUGUAUUGGGCUAACUUAAAAGGUGGUAAGAAGAAUCAUUGUACACGCGUAAUAUUAAAUGACUGUUGGGAAUACAAAAAGAAUGGAGGAAAUAGCUUUGGCUGGAAAUAUGGACAGUGGGUCAAGGAUUAUGGUAUAGAGGAUGAAGCAAUUUGUCCUAACUUGCCAUUAAGUGGUGUGGCAGUGUGGAAUAUUACUGAACCUGUUGUUGAAAUGAGAUUAUUGGAGGCUCGGGAAAAAGCAGAAGAAAUAUGCAGUAAUAGUUAUAGAGUUAAUGUUUUUAUGAGAGAAAACUUUAAUUCUUUUGUGCAGAUUUACACAGAUGGAUCUAAGGAUCCAAUUGAGCAAAAAGUGGGCAUAGGAGUGUAUAUUCCAAAUUUUAAAACAGAAAUAAGCUUGAGGCUAAGUAACAAACUGUCUGUGUACUCUACUGAGCUAACUGCAAUUAUAGUAGGACUACAAUGGGUUGAACAGGUUAGGCCAAACAGGAUAUUAAUUUGCUCAGAUUCUUCAUCAGCUCUUAAAAGUAUAAAGUCUACAAAAAGUGAUAGAGAAAAUCUGUUAGUGGAAAUUUAUACUUUAUUGUACAGAUUGAAAAUGGAAGGUAUAAUUGUAUAUUUUUGUUGGGUGCCAGCACAUAUCGGGAUAAUAGGGAAUGAAAUAGCUGAUAAAUUAGCAAAAGAGGCAUUAAAGAAAAACAUGGUGGAAGUUAAAGUCCCUUUGGGUAGAAGUGAAAUAAAAUCUGAGAUUAAUAGGAAAUUAAUACAAGAAUGGCAACAAAGAUAG